UACGUAGGGGGCAAGCGUUGUCCGGAUUUAUUGGGCGUAAAGAGCUCGUAGGCGGUUUGUCGCGUCUGCUGUGAAAGCUCGGGGCUUAACCCCGGGCCUGCAGUGGGUACGGGCAGACUAGAGUGCGGUAGGGGAGACUGGAAUUCCUGGUGUAGCGGUGAAAUGCGCAGAUAUCAGGAGGAACACCGGUGGCGAAGGCGGGUCUCUGGGCCGUAACUGACGCUGAGGAGCGAAAGCGUGGGGAGCGAACAGG
rnacentral:rRNA from 1 species